GCCCGGGUGGCGAAAUUGGUAGACGCAUGGGACUCAAAAUCCCCCGCCGCAAGGCGUGCCGGUUCGAUUCCGGCCCCGGGCA
rnacentral:tRNA from 1 species